rnacentral:tRNA from 1 species
GGAGAGGUGUCCGAGUGGUCGAAGGUGCAGCACUGGAAAUGCUGUGUACGGGAUAACCGUACCGUGGGUUCGAAUCCCACCCUCUCCGCCAGGC